rnacentral:lncRNA from 1 species
GUAUUUUCCCCAGCAGGCUCUGUGGAUGCCCAGGUAUGCUGCUCUUAGCUUCAUUUUACAGCACUGAACAUUCUGCAAAGCAGCCCCAGCUCAGGGAAAGGCAAUCAGAAAAUAGUGGGUAAGAGCUAAGCCUCCCCAGUGGCAUGCAUGGAGGCGGACAGGACCUGUCGGGAGGGAGCAGGCUGAUUCUGAGGCUCUUCACUCCUUUCCAUGCUGACCGCAGAUCCACCCCCAACCUCAGAAAGAAGGUCAAAUGAAGACCUGACUCGCUGCAGGAAACCAGCCAUGCCUCUAACCUUGGCUUUGCCCUUGGCUUCCUGCCUGCCCCAAGAACACCCCUGACUGUUCUCCAGUGCAUCUCGAUUCUACCAUAGCCUGGGGAGACAGCCAAGCUCUUUGCCAUGGCAUCGGCCUCCCUUUCCCUUUUGUUGGAGAAAGAAAAAAACGAAGGAAAGAUGAGCAACAUCUCUCUCCCCGCCAUCUCCUCAUUCUCUUCCUCAGUUUCUUACGAGUGAAAUCACCCAAGAUAUAAAUAACACAUUCUAAAUAAAGCCAUGUUUGACUGCAGCACAAGACA